rnacentral:rRNA from 1 species
CGCGUAGUCAACCUAACCUAUGGACGGGAAUAACCUCGGGAAACUGAGAAUAAUGCCCGAUAGAACAUUAUGCCUGGAAUGGUUUAUGUUCCAAAUGAUUUAUCGCCGUAGGAUGGGACUGCGGCCUAUCAGUUUGUUGGUGAGGUAAUGGCCCACCAAGACUAUUACAGGUACGGGCUCUGAGAGGAGUAGCCCGGAGAUGGGUACUGAGACACGGACCCAGGCCCUAUGGGGCGCAGCAGGCGAGAAAACUUUGCAAUGUGCGAAAGCACGACAAGGUUAAUCCGAGUGGUUUCUGCUAAAGAAACCUUUUGUCAGUCCUAGAAACACUGAUGAAUAAGGGGUGGGCAAGUUCUGGUGUCAGCCGCCGCGGUAAAACCAGCACCUCAAGUGGUCAGGAUGAUUAUUGGGCCUAAAGCAUCCGUAGCCGGCUCUGUAAGUUUUCGGUUAAAUCUGUACGCUCAACGUACAGGCUGCCGGGAAUACUGCAGAGCUAGGGAGUGGGAGAGGUAGACGGUACUCGGUAGGAAGGGGUAAAAUCCUUUGAUCUAUUGAUGACCACCUGUGGCGAAGGCGGUCUACCAAAACACGUCCGACGGUGAGGGAUGAAAGCUGGGGGAGCAAACCGGAUUAGAUACCCGGGUAGUCCCCACUG